CUUGGUCUUCACCCCUAGCAAGUUUAUCCAACUUACAAGUUAGCACACCAUGCGGAGAAUUAUCACACUUGAUCAUUUUUAUCGUGGUCGCAUGUGUUUAAUUCAAACCGCUUGGCCUCACUGUUCAACGCAAGAGUUUCACAUCGACUGAGUGAAAUCGUCUGGCAAAAGUAAGUAAAGUAUCUUACAGAUUGUUUCAUCAACUGCUGGUUUCGAACUUUAUGUUAAUUAAAAUUUUCCCACUAGGUGUUUCUCUAGGGCAAAACAUUGAUAUUGUUUGAAGAAAUAAAAUAAGUCGGUUCGUUUGAA